rnacentral:tRNA from 1 species
CCGGCUGCCCGGCGGGUGCGGGAAACGGCAGGGUCGCUCGGGCCGGUCCGGGUCGGUGGGCAUCGGUCGGCUGGUCGUCCCCGCCGUCACCGGA